rnacentral:rRNA from 1 species
GAUGAACGCUGGCGGCGUGCCUAAUACAUGCCAGUCGAGCGAACAGACGAGGAGCUUGCUCCUCUGACGUUAGCGGCGGACGGGUGAGUAACACGUGGAUAACCUACCUAUAAGACUGGGAUAACUUCGGGAAACCGGAGCUAAUACCGGAUAAUAUAUUGAACCGCAUGGUUCAAUAGUGAAAGACGGUCUUGCUGUCACUUAUAGAUGGAUCCGCGCCGCAUUAGCUAGUUGGUAAGGUAACGGCUUACCAAGGCGACGAUGCGUAGCCGACCUGAGAGGGUGAUCGGCCACACUGGAACUGAGACACGGUCCAGACUCCUACGGGAGGCAGCAGUAGGGAAUCUUCCGCAAUGGGCGAAAGCCUGACGGAGCAACGCCGCGUGAGUGAAGAAGGUCUUCGGAUCGUAAAACUCUGUUAUUAGGGAAGAACAAAUGUGUAAGUAACUAUGCACGUCUUGACGGUACCUAAUCAGAAAGCCACGGCUAACUACGUG